AUUGUCCUAAAAUGGGAAACUACAAAUUUUGAUAUAUAUAAAAAAAAAAUAUAAAAAAUAAAUUCAUUUUUCAAUUCAUCUCUAUUAAAAAAGUACUUGACAAUGUAUUAUACUGAAUCCACAUGGGUUUAAUACUUUGAUCCCUGAACUUGUAUUACGAGAGAAACUUGACUUUGAGUGCUAUCUUAAUGUGAACAAUAACAAUGCAAAUAAAAAUUGAUGGGGAAAUGAAGCCUGUUUUUGUUACCAUCUAACUACAUUUCUUCAUGCCACAAAAUAUAUAAAUUUUUGUAAAAUGCCAUUUUUAAAUGAAAUUAAUUUCCUGACUAGGAACUUUUAUUUUUAUUUAAUGCAUGUGUUUCCUUACACAGUAAGAAAAUCAUGAAUUACACAAGGUUUUAAAGAACGGAAAUCCACCAAAUUAUUAAUAAAAAAAUGGCACAAAAUUCAGGCAAUACAAGCACUUAACAAAUUACAUAGCACAAAUGAAUAUUCAGUAAAUCUCUUAGGUCUAAUUUUCUAUGCAACUCAAAGCGUACAUUUCAAAAUAAAUUUUGUGAUGAAUUAAAGGAGAAACUGUGAGUGAAACUUACCUUUAAGAAUGUACAAUUCAAUUUUAUUUUUCCAAUUUUAUAUAAACUCUAAAAUGAGACUUAGCUUAACCUUGAUGCAAGAUUCAUACUAUUAUAAGAUGUUUCUUUUCUUGGUAAUAAAAUCUGAAAUUUGAUUAAUCAUAAGCUAAAGAAGCUUGAUUAUUUAUUUCAAACUUCCUAAAAAAAAUGUUGCCUUGCUUUGAUAAGAAAUAUUGCAGAGUUUACCCUUCAUUUUGAACUUAUAUAAAAAUAACUAUGAAUAUCAACUUCUGGUAAUUUCAAAUGGCAAUUUGAUCUUUGACAUCUUUUGAACACAUACAAUAUAUAACAUAAGAACAUCAUGGUGGGAAUUACGUCAUAACCGGGAAUUUUCUUGGUAUGAUACAACACUUUCAUCACCAAACGGUGCAUCUCUGAAAAGAUAAUGAUAAUAUACACAUUAAACAAGGUACAUUUUACUUUUUUUUUUUGAAUAAUUAAAACUGUUAAAAGAAUUAGAGAAUACACAAAGGUUUGUCUGACAUGUGGCAAUGUCCAGUAAUGAAUUGUUU
rnacentral:lncRNA from 1 species